GACGAACGCUGGCGGCGUGCUUAACACAUGCAAGUCGAACGGAAAGGCCCUGCUUUUGUGGGGUGCUCGAGUGGCGAACGGGUGAGUAACACGUGAGUAACCUGCCCUUGACUUUGGGAUAACUUCAGGAAACUGGGGCUAAUACCGGAUAGGAGCUCCUGCUGCAUGGUGGGGGUUGGAAAGUUUCGGCGGUUGGGGAUGGACUCGCGGCUUAUCAGCUUGUUGGUGGGGUAGUGGCUUACCAAGGCUUUGACGGGUAGCCGGCCUGAGAGGGUGACCGGCCACAUUGGGACUGGGAUACGGCCCAGACUCCUACGGGAGGCAGCAGGGGGGAAUAAUGCACAAUGGGCGGAAGCCUGAUGCAGCAACGCCGCGUGCGGGAUGACGGCCUUCGGGUUGUAAACCGCUUUCGCCUGUGACGAAGCGUGAGUGACGGUAAUGGGUAAAGAAGCACCGGCUAACUACGUG
rnacentral:rRNA from 1 species